rnacentral:rRNA from 1 species
GACGUAGGGCGCGAGCGUUGUCCGGAUUUAUUGGGCGUAAAGAGCUCGUAGGCGGUCUGUCGCGUCGGCUGUGAAAACACGGGGCUCAACUCCGUGCCUGCAGUCGAUACGGGCAGACUAGAGUUCGGUAGGGGAGACUGGAAUUCCUGGUGUAGCGGUGAAAUGCGCAGAUAUCAGGAGGAACACCGGUGGCGAAGGCGGGUCUCUGGGCCGAAACUGACGCUGAGGAGCGAAAGCGUGGGGAGCGAACAGG